rnacentral:rRNA from 1 species
UGGGGCUCAACCCCAAGGCUGCGCCGAAACUGCUGGCUAGAGGGCGCCAGGGGGAGGCGAACUCCCGGUGUAGCGGUGAAAUGCGUAGAUAUCGGGGGGAACACCGGAGGCGAAGGCGGCCUCCUGGGGCGCACCUGACGCUGAGGCCCGAAGGCUGGGGGAGCAAAGGGGAUUAGAUACCCCCGUAGUCCCAGCAGUAAACGAUGUGGGCUAGCGGUCUGGCCUUGAGGCUGGGUCGCGAAGGGAAACCGAUAAGCCCACCGCCUGGGGAGUACGCCCGCAAGGGUGAAACUCAAAGGAAUAGACGGGAGCCCGCACAAGCGGCGGAGCGCGUGGUUUAAUUCGAUGCUGACCGAAGAACCUCACCCGGGCUUGACAUCCCGCCGUCAAGCCUGCCCGAAAGGGUAGGUGAGCCUACCGGAGAGGUAGGCAGGCGGGACAGGAGCUGCACGGCUGUCGUCAGCUCGUGUCGUGAGAUGUUGGGUUAAGUCCCGCAACGAGCGCAACCCCUACCCAUAGUUGCCAGCGGGUCGCCCACGUAGGUGGGCGAUGCCGGGGACUCUAUGGGGACUGCCGGCGAGGAGCCGGAGGAAGGAGGGGACGACGUCAAGUCCGUGUGGCCCUUAUGUCCGGGGCUACACACGCGCUACAAUGGGCGGUACAGAGGGAAGCGACCCCGCGAGGGGGAGCAAAUCCCUAAAACCGCCCCCAGUUCGGAUUGCAGGCUGAAACCCGCCUGCAUGAAGGAGGAGUCGCUAGUAAUCACCUAUCAGCUAUGGGGUGGUGAAUACGUUCCCGGGCUCUGUACUCACCGCCCGUCACGCCAUGGGAGCCGGGGGUGCCUGAAGCCCCACCGA